rnacentral:rRNA from 1 species
AUGAAACACUCCUACGGGAGGCAGCAGUGGGGAAUUUUGGACAAUGGGGGCAACCCUGAUCCAGCAAUGCCGCGUGAGUGAUGAAGGCCUUCGGGUCGUAAAGCUCUUUUACCAGGGAUGAUAAUGACAGUACCUGGAGAAUAAGCUCCGGCUAACUCCGUGCCAGCAGCCGCGGUAAUACGGAGGGAGCUAGCGUUGUUCGGAAUUACUGGGCGUAAAGCGCACGUAGGCGGUUACUCAAGUCAGAGGUGAAAGCCCGGGGCUCAACCCCGGAACUGCCUUUGAAACUAGGUGACUGGAAUCUUGGAGAGGCGAGUGGAAUUCCGAGUGUAGAGGUGAAAUUCGUAGAUAUUCGGAAGAACACCAGUGGCGAAGGCGACUCGCUGGACAAGUAUUGACGCUGAGGUGCGAAAGCGUGGGGAGCAAACAGGAUUAGAUACCCUAGUAGUCCGAAGUUC